rnacentral:rRNA from 1 species
UACGUAGGGUGCGAGCGUUGCCGGAAUUAUUGGGCGUAAAGGGCUCGUAGGCGGUUUGUCGCGUCGGGAGUGAAAUCCACUGGCUUAACUGGUGGCUUGCUUUCGAUACGGGCAGACUGGAGGUAUGCAGGGGAGAACGGAAUUCCUGGUGUAGCGGUGAAAUGCGCAGAUAUCAGGAGGAACACCGGUGGCGAAGCGGUCUCUGGG